GCUGAAUAGAUCGAUUCCCCAGCGGAGUCGCCAAAAAUCGUGUUGGCAACUUUUUUGACAAGUCGACAAGCACGAU
rnacentral:pre_miRNA from 1 species